CUAUUUCUUCAAACAGCAUAGGUUAACACUCCCCUGGAUAAGGAUGGAAGAGGUCUUUGUGGCCUUACAAAUACACACAUGGUUAAAGCAUUAGGCUUUGCUUUGUAGCACCUAACCACCAUUUUAA